rnacentral:rRNA from 1 species
GACGAACGCUGGCGGCGUGCCUAAUACAUGCAAGUAGAACGCCGAAGGAGGAGCUUACUUCUCUGGAUGAGUUGCGAACGGGUGAGUAACGCGUAGGUAACCUGCCUGGUAGCGGGGGAUAACUAUUGGAAACGAUAGCUAAUACCGCAUAAGAGUAGAUGUUGCAUGACAUUUACUUAAAAGGUGCAAUUGCAACAAUACCAGAUGGACCUGCGUUGUAUUAGCUAGUUGGUGGGGUAACGGCUUACCAAGGUGACGAUACAUAGCCGACCUGAGAGGGUGAUCGGCCACACUGGGACUGAGACACGGCCCAGACUCCUACGGGAGGCAGCAGUAGGGAAUCUUCGGCAAUGGACGGAAGUCUGACCGAGCAACGCCGCGUGAGUGAAGAAGGUUUUCGGAUCGUAAAGCUCUGUUGUAAGAGAAGAACGAGUGUGAGAGCGGAAAGUUCACACUGUGACGGUAUCUUACCAGAAAGGGACGGCUAACUACGUGCCAGCCGCCGCCGUAA